UACGUAGGGUGCGAGCGUUAAUCGGAAUUACUGGGCGUAAAGCGUGCGCAGGCGGUUUUGUAAGACAGAGGUGAAAUCCCCGGGCUCAACCUGGGAACUGCCUUUGUGACUGCAGGGCUUGAGUGCGGCAGAGGGGGAUGGAAUUCCGCGUGUAGCAGUGAAAUGCGUAGAUAUGCGGAGGAACACCGAUGGCGAAGGCAAUCCCCUGGGCCUGCACUGACGCUCAUGCACGAAAGCGUGGGGAGCAAACAGG
rnacentral:rRNA from 1 species